rnacentral:lncRNA from 1 species
UUCUGAGAAUUUCCACUCUGAAUUCACAUUCCGUUCAGUGUUAUCGCCACCCUGUGGAUUUCUUGGCUACCUCGCUGGCUUUGAGCACAACCCAGGAAGAAGUUUGAAACCAAGAAAAUGGUGGUUGGGAAGACCAGGAUGCGCAAUGGCAAGUGCUGACAACUCUGGAAUACACAGUAGGCACCCAAUACAUACAAGGGAGUAAAUGAAUGAAUUAAAGCUGUCUGUAUCUGCUGAUCAUCCACAAUUUAGACGUCCUAUACUACAUUCCAAUUGAGGGCAAGCGGGGUACGUGUCCUGAAUUUAUAGAAUCUUUUGACACAAAGCAAGAGAGCCACAGUCAAGACUCAAGUCAAAAGAAAUUUAGACCCCAUCUGGGCAAACAGGCCUCUAAGCAACAAUCUAAGAUUUCCACCUAUUGUUCUGGCAUUCCUUGUAUAAAUGAUUAUGACUGCAGAGAUCUUAGGAAGUGCUGUGGUACCUUUAGAUGUGGCCUGAGGUGCAUACAUCCUCUUAUGAUUGGCCCUGUAUUUUUCAAUUCACCUCCACAAUCCAAGGCAUAAAUAUUGGAUGGAGAAAUGGAUUCAGAUGGAGGCAUCAUUGAGCUUAUUCUUGACUCAUCUCAGUCCAAACAUUACUCUGUCAAUCGUUGUUCUUAAAAUCUGCAUAUUAAAAGCUCAGCAUCAACU